rnacentral:lncRNA from 1 species
UUCCCGCCUCGGCCUCCCAGAGUGCUGAGAUUACAGAUGUGAACCCAUGCCAGGCCAGGAAUUUUGUUUUUUAGGAAGGCUUUCUACUAAUGGAAUUCCUGGCCUUGAGAGGAUAUUACUUUCGACGGAAAGGAUUUUUUUGUUAUUAAAAGAGCCACCUAAGCUGAAGAUUCCCUUGAGAACAAGUACUGUCCUGCGGUUUCAUGGCCUUUCUUCCAUUUGUGGUUCUUGCGAAGUGGAAUUUAAAUGACAUCUUAUCAAGAUCGAUAAAUACUAGUUUCCCAGUGCUGGAAUAUAGAAAAUGGAUGGACAAGUAAAUCCCACUCAGCACCCAUAGUCCAGGCAUGGGGACCUCAACACACCUGAGCCCCAAACAUCACCUUUCAUUCUGGACCUACCAUGAAAGACUUCUGAAUCCAGGAAGAGAAACUGACUGGGCAACAUGUUAUUCAGAAACAGGACCUUGCCCUGUCACUCAGGAUGGAGUUCAAUGGUCCUAUCAUGGCUCAUUAUAGCCUUAAACUCCCAGGCUCAAGCAAUCCUACCAUGUCAGCCUUCCCAGUAGCUGGGACUACAGGAAGUGACCUCACAAUGACUCAAGCUACCACAUACUGUUGAUUGUGAAAUGCCAGUUGAAGCAUAUGUCCUGCGAGCUUAGGGGUGCUACAAGUUGACCACUGCAGCAGUAAAGAUGACUCUGAAGAAUGGCAUGGGAUGGAUCCUUUCGAAUGCACUUGAGCAGCGGUCUCCAACCACAGGGCCACAGAGCUGGAGCUGGAUCUACCAUGAAAGACUUCUGAAUCCAGGAAGAGAGACUGACUGGGCAACAUGUUAUUCAGGGUCUCCCUCUGUUGUCCAAGGCUGGAGUGUAGUAGUGCUA